rnacentral:rRNA from 1 species
UACGGAGGGUGCGAGCGUUGUCCGGAAUCACUGGGCGUAAAGGGCGCGUAGGCGGUUCGUUAAGUUGCUGGUGAAAUCCCGGGGCUCAACCCCGGAUCUGCCGUGCCGACUGUCAAACUCGAGGGCUGUAGAGGCAGACGGAAUUCCGGGUGUAGCGGUGGAAUGCGUAGAGAUCCGGAGGAAGACCGGUGGCGAAGGCGGUCUGCUGGGCAGUUUCUGACACUGAUGCGCGACAGCGUGGGGAGCAAACAGG